CCUGACGUUGAGCUAAAGAUCAGUUAAAAAAAAAUUUACUGUAAGCAUUUGUAGUAAAAUAUAAUUUUAAACCGAGUUACUUCAAUUGCAAUGCUCCGAAUGCACGUAAAUUGUAGAGUAAAUUUUCGACCGUACCCUAAGGCAAAAACUCCUUUUAAAAGUUUCACUCGAUCAACGUGCUGCCAUCUAUUAGAAGUUUUGUACAGCUAGUCAACCACGUCUGCGCCGUUAGUGGAAGGCUGAAUUGAAACACCAGAAACUCAUAUUACUCAAACCCUAGGCCUUUGAUGUGCCUGGUCGAGCUCCCCUGUGAAUAGAAUAGAAUACAAAAGGCAAUAAGGGAGAUUUUAAGCAUCGAGUAAAAGGAGUGGCAAGAGAAUUAAAUUUAACAGGAUGAUUUGUUUCCCUGUAUCAUCUUGGGCUACAAAUAACUGUAGUGCCUACAUUUCUUCUUCGUCUCCUACAGGCUGCUUCAAGUAUGCGGAGUUUGAGCAACCAAUGAACAACCCACUACUGUAAUUUAGUGUUCUGGCUUCAAACAUUCUAAAUAACAAAAUAAUCUACUAGCUGUUUUAUUAACUCAGUACAUUAUAAAUUAUAAAGAAGUUUUUCGUGUAAAAUAGCUAAAUGUAAACUUUCAAGACAUUGCAAACACUUAAGGAAUGUAGCACAUUAAUUACAACGAAGUACACAAAAUAGACGUAUUCU